rnacentral:rRNA from 1 species
GGGCGUAAGCGCGCGUAGGCGGUUUUUUAAGUCUGAUGUGAAAGCCCACGGCUCAACCGUGGAGGGUCAUUGGAAACUGGAAAACUUGAGUGCAGAAGAGGAAAGUGGAAUUCCAUGUGUAGCGGUGAAAUGCGCAGAGAUAUGGAGGAACACCAGUGGCGAAGGCGGCUUUCUGGUCUGUAACUGACGCUGAUGUGCGAAAGCGUGGGGAUCAAACAGGAUUAGAUACCC